GGGGGGGGGGGGGGGGGGGGGGGGGGGGUGCGGGGGGGGGGGCGGGGGGGGGGGGGGGGGCGCGGGGGGGUGGCGGGGGGGGGGCGGGGGGGGAGUACGUCGGGAGCUACGGUUUCGGGGGGGGUGACGGCGGGGGACUUACGCUAAUACCGCAUACGACCUACGGGGGAAGGCCGGGGAUCUCCGUCCCUUGCGCGCUUGAAGGAGCCGCUGUCGGAUUAGCUAGUUGGCGGUGUAAAGGCCCACCAAGGCGCCGAUCCGUAGCUGGUCUGAGAGGAUGAGCAGCCACACUGGAACUGAGACACGGUCCAGACUCCUACGGGAGGCAGCAGUGGGGAAUAUUGGACAAUGGGCGCAAGCCUGAUCCAGCCAUACCGCGUGGGUGAAGAAGGCCUUCGGGUUGUAAAGCCCUUUUGUUGGGAAAGAAAAGCAGCAGGUUAAUACCCCGCUGUUCUGACGGUACCCAAAGAAUAAGCACCGGCUAACUUCGUG
rnacentral:rRNA from 1 species